UGGGGAAUAUUGCACAAUGGAGGGAACUCUGAUGCAGCGACGCCGCGUGAACGAAGAAGGCUUUCGAGUCGUAAAGUUCUUUUAUAUGGGAAGAUAAUGACGGUACCAUAAGAAAAAGCCCCGGCUAACUACGUGCCAGCAGCCGCGGUAAUACGUAGGGGGCUAGCGUUGUCCGGAAUUAUUGGGCGUAAAGGGUACGUAGGUGGUUUUUUAAGUCAGGUGUCAAAGCGUGGAGCUUAACUCCAUUAAGCACUUGAAACUGAAAGACUUGAGUGAAGGAGAGGAAAGUGGAAUUCCUAGUGUAGCGGUGAAAUGCGUAGAUAUUAGGAGGAAUACCGGUGGCGAAGGCGACUUUCUGGACUUUUACUGACGCUCAGGUACGAAAGCGUGGGGAGCAAACAGG
rnacentral:rRNA from 1 species